UUGAUCUCGCGAACCAUGAGAUCAUGACAUGAGCCAAAAUCAGGAGUCAGACGUUCAACUGACUGAGCCACCCAGGUGCCCCUGGUCUGUAGUUUGUUUAACUUUGUAUGGUUUUGUCUAAAAAUUAUUGCAGACACUAGCUACCAUGCUUGUGAAAUUUUGUAGAAAUAGAAUUUGUAAGGUACUUGCUGCUUCAAAUGAUCAUAUUUACACAAUUUAAAUAAACCACUUUUUCCUCUUUCUUAUUUUGUGAAUGAUAUCAGAUCCACCAAAUUCCCUUACCAGAAAUGGCUCUAAAAUGCAAGCAUAGCUACUAAUACCCCAGUGUCCUCAACAUGUGUCUCUGAAGAGAUAAAUGACCUAGAAAUAUUCCCAAAUUAAAACAACAUAAAACAAAAAACACUCUAGAGUUUAAAGAUUCCAAGUCAGGAUGACAAAUGUAAACAAACUAUUUACUUGAAAAAAAAAUCUACGAACUUUGAAGAGCACUAGAACUUGCACCACCAUGGAAGGCAGUAUUCUACAAUGGCCCCCAAGAUUCCCACCCUGGAGCAUACACUUUGUGUAUCCUCUCCCCCUGAGUAUAGGCAGGACUUACCAAUAUGAUGAGAUACCAGUUAUCAGGUUACUAAUAAGUGAAUUGACUUUACUCAAUCUAAAGGGAUUAUGUAGGUGGACCUGAGAGAUUGGAGGUGUGAAGGGGCUUACAGAGGGAGUCAUGUACCUAUGCCUGAAGGCAGCCUCUAGGAACUUAGGGAAACCCUUGUCCAGCAGCCUGCAAGAAAUAGAGGCCUCAGUCCUACAGCUGCAUGAAAGUGAAUCCUGGCAAUAACCUGAAUGAGCAUGGAAGCGGCCUUCAACCUCCGGAUGAGACCCCAGCUCUCAUCUAUGGGAGCUCCAUAUUCUGUUGUGGGGAAGAGAUGUCUCUCUUUAGAACUUUCCUGCUUGGAUGGAUGGUCUGUUGACUGGAUGUUGUGCUUGGUAAGAAUCACUUACGAGUUCAUGAGGAUGGCCUUAUCAACUGUAAAAUUAAUUAAUUCAUCAAUUCAUUCAUUCAAAAAAUAUUUGAGCACCUACCACAAGCCAUGAAUGCUUCCAGACGAUGUUUUAUAUGACUAUCUUAUCUGAUGGUACCCAAUUUUUCCAUUUUCUCUUCUAGAUACUAUAUCGACCCUUCUUUUUAUCUUGAGAGGUUAAUUUUUUGGACUUCUAUGUACUCUGGAUUCAGCUAAUGGAAAAACAGGACGAGGAAAGAGUAGAAAGAAAGUGAAAUCAGGAAGCUUACUUCUCUAGAUUUUUCCCCAACGGGUUACUUUGAGCUAGCUGCAUCCCUCCACUCUUGUUGGUGUUUGUCUCCUAAGCUACUCCCUCUCAGAGUAGCCCCCUCCCUUGUCCUACCCUUGGAUGGGAAGAGCUCCCCACUACUGCUGGCCCUGGCACACAGACUCUCCCUUGUGGCAUACCUAAACCCUUGUCACACCUUUCUAAACAGUUUCUUUAUCAAACUGCCUUCAUUUUUUGAUGUUUGACUGUGCUUUUUCCUACCAAGACCAUGAACAUGUAGCACUAAUAAUCCCUCUGAAAAUUUGGUAUUUGGAACCAUUGGAUCAGGGAACUUGGAUUCCAGUGUCAGUUCAUCUUCUAUAUGAGGAACAUGGUCUUUCAGGGACAGCCUUUCCUUCUCUGCACAAUGAGAGAAGAGGUUUAAGGUUUUCACUAGGGCUCAUAAUCUAUAAAUCAGUAGGUGGGUUGUAGAGCUCACAUUUUGAGAUGUUGAGAGGAAAUGUAAUUUCUUGAUUCAGACUUCCUCAUGAAUUUCAGCCCUUUCAUGUUGGAGAAACUAUAUUCAGGCCAACCUACUGAAAUAAUAGAGCUAUCCAUUUAGAUAAUAUUCAGUCUCUCUAGGUAAAAACCUCAGCCUCUUGAAUUUCUCAGUUCAGUCUUCAGUCCCUUUUUCAGCUUCUCUCCAGGAUAGCUUCUGAGUGAAUAGAAGAAGGGGCUUAUGCUGUGUGUUCUCAUGACUAAAGAAGGGACUCCAGCUCCUUGGAUUUGCUUGGUAGCCUCUGAUUCCUCUGAGCUCCAAAGCACCAUCUCUUAUUGGCUUUAUUACAGCUUGUCCUGAAUAGCUUGUCCUGAAAAGCCUUUCAUAAGGCUUAGGGCAGGGGUUGACAAACUUGUUCAAUAAAAGGCCAGGUAGUAAAUAUUUUAGGCUUUGUGGACCCUAUAGUCUCUGUUGCAGUCCAACUCUGCAGCUCAAAAGCAGCCACAGACAGCAUGUAAACAAAUGGGUGUUUAUUUUAUUUAUAAAAUGGGAGACUGGGCUGGAUUUGACCCAGAGGCAAUAAUUUUCUGACUCCUAGUCUAGAGGUUCCUUGGCUGACUUGACCUCCCCUCACUCUCACUCAUGUAGACCCUGUGCCUUGUAUCCUUAGGCUCCAAGUGGCUCCAUCUGGAACCCAGGUCUGAGGGGUCCACUACAAGCCUUGUUGUGAAGUCACCUCACUGAUGCCAAGUUGUAAGAAGAGUGGAAGCAGAGAAUGAAGGAAGAAAAUGCUUGAGGUUUGGCUGAAUGCUUCCUCCCAGUGGAAGGAAAAUUAAAGAAAGUUGCUCCAGUUUAGGCCCAGUGGAUGGCUGAUAACCCACAGAAAGAGAGCAUCCUUCAUCCUGAUAAACGGGCUGUGAGCUGAGCACGUGACUGAGCUCCUUAAGACCUGGGUCUUCAGCUUCCUGCCCUCACCUUAACUGGAAACUGGGUAAAAGCCACAUCAAGAGGAGUUCUGAAAAUGGCAUGUGGAUGAAAAGGGAGCCUCUUGGAGAUGCUGGUGGCUGAAGAUAUGCGUCAGUCAAGGAAUUGGAUUUCCCUAUACCAAAAAGCCAUUGCUGGCUGAGCAGAACAAGAUGUGGACUCACCAAACUCAACAACCUGCUUUUCUCACAAGAAAGUAUUAAUUGCGCUACUUCCUUUUACUUAAUGAAUCUCAAAAUUUUAUUUUGGCUUUGACUGUGAAGGCGAGAGAGAAAUGCCAGGGUUCCACCCCUGCCUUCCUGAGUCAGACCAUCUGGCGAACAGAGCUCAUUCAUCUACACGUUUUUUUUUUUUUUAAUGUAUAAAAUAAACAUAACAAAAUUGACCAUCUUAA